rnacentral:rRNA from 1 species
GGGACGAACGCUGGCGGCGUGCUUAACACAUGCAAGUCGAGCGGAAAGGCCCUUCGGGGUACUCGAGCGGCGAACGGGUGAGUAACACGUGAGUAACCUGCCCUGGACUUUGGGAUAACCCUCGGAAACGGGGGCUAAUACCGAAUAUGACAACUCAUCGCAUGGUGUGGUUGUGGAAAGUUUUUCGGUCUGGGAUGGGCUCGCGGCCUAUCAACUUGUUGGUGGGGUAAUGGCCUACCAAGGCGACGACGGGUA